rnacentral:rRNA from 1 species
AUUGAACGCUGGCGGCAGGCCUAACACAUGCAAGUCGAACGAGUGGCGGACGGGUGAGUAAUGGCGGGGAAACUGCCGGAUGGAGGGGGAUAACUACUGGAAACGGUAGCUAAUACCGCAUACAAUCAGAUGGGCAGAGAUUGGAUUAGCUAGUUGGUGGGGUAACGGCUCACCAAGGCGACGAUCCCUAGCUGGUCUGAGAGGAUGACCAGCCACACUGGAACUGAGACACGGUCCAGACUCCUACGGUAGGCAGCAGUGGGGAAUAUUGCACAAUGGGCGCAAGCCUGAUGCAGCCAUGCCGCGUGUAUGAAGAAGGCCUUCGGGUUGUAAAGUACUUUCAGCGGGGAGGCGUUACCCGCAGAAGAAGCCCCGGCUAACUCCGUGCCAGCAGCCGCGGUAAUAC